UACGAAGGGUGCAAACGUUUGCUCGGGAAUUAUUGGGCGUAAAGCGCACGUAGGCGGCUUAGCAAGUCGGAAGUGAAAUCCACGGCUCAACCUUGGAAUUGCCUUUGAUACUGGCUGUCUUGAGUUCGGAGAGGUGAGUGGAAUGCCGAGUGUAGAGGUGAAAUUCGUAGAUAUUCGGCGGAACACCAGUGGCGAAGGCGACUCACUGGCCCGAUACUGAACGCUGAGGCGGCGAAAAGCGUGGGGAGCAAACAGG
rnacentral:rRNA from 1 species